rnacentral:rRNA from 1 species
UACGUAGGUGGCGAGCGUUGUCCGGAUUUACUGGGCGUAAAGGGCGUGCAGGCGGUCUGCUAAGUCUAGGGUGAAAGCUCCCGGCUCAACUGGGAGAGGUCCUUGGAUACUGACAGACUUGAGGGAGGCAGAGGAGAAUGGAAUUCCCGGUGUAGUGGUGAUAUGCGUAGAUAUCGGGAGGAACACCGACGUGGAGCGACCC